CGGGCUGUAGCGCAGUGGGAGCGCGCUUGGUUCGGGAUCAAGAAGUCGGGGGUUCAAAUCCCCCCAGCCCGA
rfam:Candidatus Marispirochaeta sp. JC444 Contig3, whole genome shotgun sequence.